rnacentral:rRNA from 1 species
CCUACGGGCGGCAGCAGUGAGGAAUAUUGGGCAAUGGGCGCGAGCCUGAACCAGCCAAGUAGCGUGAAGGAUGACUGCCCUACGGGUUGUAAACUUCUUUUAUAAAGGAAUAAAGUGAGGCACGUGGGCCUGUUUGUAUGUACUGUAUGAAUAAGGAUCGGCUAACUCCGUGCCAGCAGCCGCGGUAAUACGGAGGAUCCGAGCGUUAUCCGGAUUUAUUGGGUUUAAAGGGAGCGUAGAGGGGUUGUUAAGUCAGUUGGGAAAGUUUGCGGCUCAACCGUAAAAUUGCAAUUGAUACUGGCAGUCUUGCGUACAGUUGAGGUAGGCGGACUUCGUGGUGUAGCGGUUCAAUGCUUCGAUCUCACGCAGAACUCCGAUUGCGACGGCAGCUUACUACACUGCCACUGACAUUGCUUCUCGCAAGUGUGGGUCUCACACCGGCUUCGCUACCCCGGUAGUC